AUUGUUUGUGCAACGGGGAAAAGACGUGUGCUUCACUAUUUUGCGUAUGUGCAGUGAUAAAUAAUUAGCGAGGUGUGUGUGUAAUAGGUGUUCUGUGUGCAGGAAGUGCUUAUUAAGUUUAUAGUGAAGUGAAUGUAAAAUGUGAAGUGUAGUGCCACGGAUAACGUCAUAUUACCGCCACUUGCAGGUUAACGUCACGGGGGCGGUCGUACUGCCACUAAAUACAGGGUGUUUCAAAAAUGACCGGUAUAUUUGAAACGGCAAUAAAAACUAAACGAGCAGCGAUAGAAAUACACCGUUUGUUGCAAUAUGCUUGGGACAACAGUACAUUUUCAGGCGGACAAACUUUCGAAAUUACAGUAGUUACAAUUUUCAACAACAGAUGGCGCUGCAAGUGAUGUGAAAGAUAUAGAAGACAACGCAGUCUGUGGGUGCGCCAUUCUGUACGUCGUCUUUCUGCUGUAAGCGUGUGCUGUUCACAACGUGCAAGUGUGCUGUGGACAACAUGGUUUAUUCCUUAGAACAGAGGAUUUUUCUGGUGUUGGAAUUCCACCGCCUAGAACACAGUGUUGUUGCAACAAGACGAAAUUUUCAACGGAGGUUUAAUGUAACCAAAGGACCGAAAAGCGAUACAAUAAAGGAUCUGUUUGAAAAAUUUCAACGGACUGGGAACGUGCUGGAAAGGUAGGGCGACCGCGUACGGCAACCACAGAGGGCAACGCGCAGCUAGUGCAGCAGGUGAUCCAACAGCGGCCUCGGGUUUCCGUUCGCCGUGUUGCAGCUGCGGUCCAAAUGACGCCAACGUCCACGUAUCGUCUCAUACGCCAGAGUUUACACCUCUAUCCAUACAAAAUUCAAACGCGGCAACUCCUCAGCGCCGCUACAAUUGCUGCACGAGAGACAUUCGCUAACAAUAUAGUGCACAGGAUUGAUGACGGCGAUAUGCAUGUGGGCAGCAUUUGGUUUACUGACGAAGCUUAUUUUUACCUGGACAGCUUCGUCAAUAAACAGAACUGGCGCAUAUGGGGAACCGAGAAGCCCCAUGUUGCAGUCCCAUCGUCCCUGCAUCCUCAAAAAGUGCUGGUCUGGGCCGCCAUUUUUUCCAAAGGAAUCAUUGGCCCAUUUUUCAGAUCCGAAACAAUUACUGCAUCACGCUAUCUGGACAUUCUUCGUGAAUUUGUGGCGGUACAAACUGCCUUAGACGACACUGCGAACACCUCGUGGUUUAUGCAAGAUGGUGCCCGGCCACAUCGCACGGCCGACGUCUUUAAUUUCCUGAAUGAAUAUUUCGAUGAUCGUGUGACUGCUUUGCGCUAUCCGAAACAUACAGGAGACGGCGUGGAUUGGCCUCCCUAUUCGCCAGACAUGAACCCCUGUGACUUCUUUCUGUGGAGACACUUGAAAGACCAGGUGUACCGCCAGAAUCCAGAAACAAUUGAACAGCUGAAGCAGUACAUCUCAUCUGCAUGUGAAGCCAUUCCGCCAGACACGUUGUCAAAGGUUUCGGGUAAUUUCAUUCAGAGACGACGCCAUAUUGUUGCUACGCAUGGUGGAUGUGUGGAAAAUAUCGUACUAUAGAGUUUCCCAGACCGCAGCGCCAUCUGUUGUUGACAAUUGUAACUACUGUAAUUUCGAAAGUUUGUCUGCCUGAAAAUGUACUGUUGUCCCAAGCAUAUUGCAACAAACGGUGUAUUUCUAUCGCUGCUCGUUUAGUUUUUAUUACCGUUUCAAAUAUACCGGUCAUUUUUGAAACACCCUGUAUUAAUGUAAUGGUGGAGGAGGAGGAUGUGGGUGAAGACAUCGAUGUUGGGGCUGCUGGAGACACAAUCUCGGCUGCUGAUAAGGUCGAGUUUAAUGCCGGUGUGCACUGAUGGUGACAAGCGCCUUCGUGUCAUCGGCAGCACUGACGUACAUCUCUCAUCGGACCGACUGGGUUCCCGACCAUCCAAGCUCGCGUAAUUGGCAGCACCUCCCUACCACCCGAUCUCUCUGGAGGCACA